AGAGUUGUUUUAACCAAUCUCAUCAAAUUACUUUGAUCAAAUGGGGAUGCACCUUUCAAGUGAAAAUAAGUGUUGGAGUUCACAAGAGAGAAGACGGUACGAUACCCCGUCUGUCCCAAAAAGGCAAACCAAUCAAAUUCGAAAAUCCGCGAAAAAUCCGCCGCUACAUCCAAAAGAAUGGAACCAACCAGCAAGUGGAAAUUCAAUAUAGCUUUUGAACCCGGGGAGAACAGCUCCCACUACACGGUACUUGUCGGAUUUUUACUCUGUGUGACCCGAGUGAGUGACCCAAAUUAAACUAGGAAAUUCUAAAAUUCGAAAGUCGCUAGACCAGUAUUUCUCGUUGUUAUCGCCACUGGUCGACCAUGACGGCUGCUCCUUGGCAACCUCAUUCACGCGAACAGUAAAUUACGGCGCGUUCGUCCGCCCCGGCCCUUGUUCUAUUUGUAGCCGGGGUAGUGGUAUUUAUCCGGCUCGGGCCGUUGGGAAACACAGACACAGGCUGAUGGUGAUCAUUGAUUUAUUACAAGGGGGUGGCUGCUGUUGAAGAACUCUCUGAAGAAAAGAAAAUGUCCUUCCUCCUCAACAGCAGCACAUGAAGUCAUAUAUUUGCAAGUUUACAGAAGCAGAUGAAAACAGAUUGAAAUAUGGCCAUUCCAUACCUGAAGAAAAGAAAAUGUCCUUCCUCCUCAACAGCAGCACAUGAAGUGAGGAGGAAGUCAGGUAUGGAAGGAAGCUACCUGUAGAGGACCAGGGUGGCCAAUUAGAAGACAGAUUGCAUUAAGCAUCAAAUGAAGGGCUUAAUGCAAGAUAUAAAUAGACUGAGGGAAACCCUACAGGUGUGAAAAAUGUCGAAAGAUAGACAGAAGGUUGAAGGGGAACAUCUGGUGAGAGAUUCCCAGAGACUGAAAAUAAGGGUGUUGAGUUGUUUAAAGAGUUAGAUACUGAUAUUCAACUGUAGACAAGACAAACAUUGAACAUAUAGAUGAUUAUGAUGAUGAUGUAUGAAUAAUGAUAUAACUAUAGGAAGAAUAUAAGGUACCCUGCUACAUAUUGAUAAUGUUUUGUUACCAGCUGGCGCAGGUUUUGCCCAUCAUCUAAAACCGUAAUUAAAAUAAACUCUUGUUAGGCAAUACUGAUGCUAUUCUAUUACCACCUGCUUUUGUGUAGUCAACUUGGACUGCCUGGCGCAGAUAACAGAGACCGAAAUUACAACUUCAAAGUAAUUGUUUAUGUGAUAAGAGUAGAGCUGUGGGGGUAUAUAACUCCUUGGGUGUUGGUCCUCAGCACACUUGCUUGAAUAAACCCUAAGGACCUCACAGCUCUCUUUUCUCUUGUUUCAAGGUAAGAAACAUUUAAAUAUUCCUAUUUUAUGACUAAACUUCUUAUUUCAUUGUUAUUAUUGUCUAGAAAAUGUUAUAGUUAAGUUGAAUCAGUACUGCCAUAUUGUAACUCUCAAUCUACUGUGUACAAGUUCUAAAUGACUGCUCAUUAUAUAUAUUAUUUACCGUUUAAUACACAGUAACUUCCCAGUGUUGUUUGAAGUGUAUUGCGUUGUGGGCUCCACCAGUUUAUGUGUCAUUAAUAUGCGGCACCCAUAGUUCUCUCCUAUAUUUCGACAUCCAUGAUUAUUUUCCCCUUCCAUGUCUAACAUCAUCUGUUCAAAAUACCAGAUGCAUAUACAGUUUAUAUUUCCGUGCAGUAGCGAAGCGUACAUGUAGCUUAGUCACAAAACGGUUCCUAGAGUUAACACUCAAGCAAGAUAUAUUCUAUACGUAGGUCGGUUAUUCCAUAUUUUCCGACAGUCCACCGAUCAAAGGUUAUAUGAGCAGCUUUACCUUCCGUGUGCGCUUACAGAAUAGGCUAUAAUACAACGCAUUCCAUAUUUCUUAGGUUUUAUCCUCAUUAAGUAAGUAUUUGAAUAUAUUGUUAAGAGUCCCGUCCCUCAUAUAGUUGCAUACGCUACAACACAGCCUAUACCACAAUUCCAUUACCGUAGUCAUUUAAAUACUGUUAUAGUCAUCCUUUAUACUUCAUAAUAACGUACAUUCAAACGCGCAUACAAUUACCGUAUUCACACCAUUAGCUGUUAUCGUCUAGCUCCGUAUAUAUUUAGGAAAUGCGCGCAGUCAAUAGCAACACAGCCGCGGUGAUUCAUUACCGUAGUCACCAAAGUAAUCACCACUAAAACUAAUAAUUACUCUAACUAAAACCGAGCUAUAUCUUCUACCGCGUACAUUCGUAUCUUUAUUUGGAUCAAGUAUUUACUUUCUGUAUUUGCCGAAAUUAUAAGUUGUGAUAAUUAUAACUGAAACUACAAAAUAUUAAUGUUUACCGUCUUUUCAUAAGUAAAUGUCAUGUUCCUCAUCUAAGCAGUUUGUGCAGUCUACCGUACAUGCUCUAUUAAAAUGUUACGACUACUCAAUUUAUCUGUUAAGAAAUGUUAUUUAGCAUUACCGUUAUUAUUCUAGUAAAUACUGCAUCUGUUGUAUAAUGUUACCGCACAUACUCCAAUAUUAAAUACAUUGCCUUUAUUAUUAUGCCUUUAUUAGAUGGACAAUGUGUUCGCAUAUCAUUAUCAUUGUACGUCACUAUUAUAUAUUAAUUGAUGUAACUUGAAUGAUAUGAGACACUUGCUUGAAUAAACCCUAAGGACCUCACA